GAUGAACGCUGGCGGCGUGCCUAAUACAUGCAAGUCGAGCGAACGGACGAUAAGCUUGCUCCUCUGAUGUUAGCGGCGGACGGGUGAGUAACACGUGGAUAACCUACCUAUAAGACUGGGAUAACUUCGGGAAACCGGAGCUAAUACCGGAUAAUAUUUUGUACCGCAUGGUUCAAUAGUGAAAGACGGUUUUGCUGUCUCUUAUAGCUGGAUCCGCGCUGCAUUGGCUAGUUGGUAAGGUAACGGCUUACCAAGGCAACGAUGCGUAGCCGACCUGAGAGGGUGAUCGGCCACACUGGAACUGAGACACGGUCCAGACUCCUACGGGAGGCAGCAGUAGGGAAUCUUCCGCAAUGGGCGAAAGCCUGACGGAGCAACGCCGCGUGAGUGAUGAAGGUCUUCGGAUCGUAAAACUCUGUUAUUAGGGAAGAACAGAUGUGUAAGUAAAUGUGCACAUCUUGACGGUACCUAAUCAGAAAGCCACGGCUAACUACGUG
rnacentral:rRNA from 1 species